rnacentral:rRNA from 1 species
AAUCAACGCUGGCGGCGUGCCUAACACAUGCAAGUCGAACGCGAAAGCCCGCAAGGGUAAGUAGAGUGGCGCACGGGUGAGUAACACGUGGACAACCUGCCUUCGAGUGGGGAAUAACCUUCCGAAAGGAGGGCUAAUACCGCAUAACACCUCGGGACACAAGUUCUGGGGUUGAAAAGAGCAAUUUGCUCGAAGAGGGGUCCGCGCCUGAUUAGCUAGUUGGUGAGGUAACGGCUCACCAAGGCUUCGAUCAGUAGCCGUCCUGAGAGGGAGCACGGCCACACUGGAACUGAGACACGGUCCAGACUCCUACGGGAGGCAGCAGUGGGGAAUUUUGGCAAUGGGCGAAAGCCUGACCAAGCAACGCCGCGUGGGUGAUGAAGUAUCUUGGUACGUAAAACCCUUUACGGC